UACGGAGGGUGCUAGCGUUGUUCGGAAUCACUGGGCGUAAAGCGCGUGUAGGCGGUCUGCUAAGUCUGAUGUGAAAGCCCGGGGCUCACCCCCGGAAGUGCAUUGGAAACUGGCAGACUGGAGUCCCGGAGAGGAGGGUGGAAUUCCUGGUGUAGCGGUGAAAUGCGUAGAUAUCAGGAGGAACACCGGUGGCGAAGACGGCCCUCUGGACGGUGACUGACGCUGAGACGCGAAAGCGUGGGGAGCAAACAGG
rnacentral:rRNA from 1 species